rnacentral:lncRNA from 1 species
AUGUGUCAUAAACCAGUGUUUCUGAUUUUGUCUUCUAAUCUGAGACUGCGUCAUUCUUUUUUUUUUUUUUUUUUUUUUUUCUUUUGGUUGUUUGUAAGAUUGACCAACAGACCAGUCUUUCAAGGAUAUAUGUUAUCAAUACUUUCAAACAGGUCUUGGGCUAUUUUUCUAGUGCCCUGUGAGCCAGCCCUAGCAGAGCAGUUUGUAUGUGGCUCUUUAAUAUCAAUCUCAGGAUCUUCCCACCUUGGCUUCAAAAUCAAGAUUUUCAGGAGUUCUAAACUUGCGAUUUUCCUCUGAUCACUAUUCCCAUAUGGGCUUACGAGGAACUCAAUUUCAGAGCCUUUAUCUUGGGAAGAUAAUCAUGAGCAAUUCUUUUGCCAACUAAAAUUAACCCUGCACCCAACUCCAGCCCUUGGGCCCCCGAUUAUACUAAACCUUUCACCUUAUUUGUCCAGGAGCACGUGAUGACCAAACUCGAGAAAUUCUAACACAAAAGCAAGCAGGAAAAGAGAUCUAUUGCAUACUCCAACCUGCAAUUAGACCCAGGAGCCAGAGCGCAUUCAAACUGUUUGAAAGCAGUAGCAGCAGCUGAAUUGGUGGAUGCCUCAGCUGAAUAUUAGGAUAUGACUUAUACUUACAAGAACCUCGUGCUGUUGUGUGGCUAUUAAACUCUGACCAGAUGCAUUAUUUUUCAGCCAGCAAACUAACAUUCACCUCCUAACUCCAUUUUUUUUUUUGUUGUUUUGGCCACUCUAAGGCAUAUGCAAUCCCUUAGCCAGGGGUCAGAUCGGAGACACAGUUGUGACCUACGCGUUGGAUCCUUUAACCGGAUGUGCUGGGCAGGGGAUCAAACCUUCCUCCUGGCACUGCGGAGACGCUGCUGAUCCCCUUGCGCCACAGCAGGGACUCCCCAGCCUCCACCCUGAGUGCUGCAACUUGCUCAGUGCUGUUGCCCCUGUUAUCCUUGCUGGCAAUGGUACGGAACACCGUAGCCACGUAGACGUGGUGUCAUGGUUAUUGACCCCUUGUGCUGACUCACACACCAAUAGAAAACCCAGAUGCGAUACCUCUUCAGCCCUGGGUCCCAAGCUAAGGGAAAAAUUAAGCAGGAUAUGAUGGAACAGCUCAAUAGGAAAUGUUGAAAAGGGGAAUACUCCCCAAUUUAACUCCAUUCAACCAGCAGAACUACAAGCUCCCUCAAGGAUGUCAGCUACCCAGAGGGAAAUCAAUGAAUCUUUAUUUAUUUAUUUUUAUUUUUAUUUUGUCUUUUUGCCUUUUCUAGGGCCGUUCCCUCGGCAUAUGGAGGUUCCCAGGCUAGGGGUUUAAUCGGAGCUACAGCUGCCUGCCUACACCACAGCCACAGCAACGUGGGAUCCGAGCCGCGUCUGCGACCUACACCACAGCUCACGGCAACGCCAGAUCCUUAACCCACCGAGCAAGGCCAGGGAUUGAAGCCGCAACCUCAUGGUUCCUAGUCAGAUUAGUUAACCACUGCGCCAUGACGGGAACUCCCCAAAUCAAUGAAUCUUUAUACCGAUAGCAGAUAUACCUUUGGGGUGGCCCAUGACCUUGGUAUACUAUGGAAAACAGAGAAGUUCCUCACGUCUAGUGGAAGGCUGAUCAAAAAUUGGCCCCAGUAAAUGAUACACUCUCUGUCAUUCUAUUGUCUAACUGAAUUGCAAUUAUUUUUGUUUGCUUUGUUUUCCUUUUUAGGGCUGCACCCAUGCAUCAUAUAGAAGUUCCCAGGCUAGGGGUCAAAUUGGAGCUGUAGCCGCCAGUCCACGCCACAGCCACAGCAAUGCCAGAUCUGAACCGAGGCUGUGACCUACGCCACAGCUCAUGGCAACACCGGAUCCUUUCACCCACUGAAAGAGGCCAAGGAUUGAGCCCGAGUCCUCAUGGAUACUAGUCAGGUUUGUUACGGCUGAGCCAUGAUGGGGACUCCUAUGACAAUUUCUAUAAAAGACAAAAUCAGGCAUCUGAGAUGGAGCAACAAUGUUGGGACCAAAAAGGGUGCAAAGUUAACGUAAAACGAGGAUUCAUUGAGGGUCUGAAUGGCCGCCUGGUUCUUGGUGAAUCCUUAAAAAUGUCAUCACUAGGAGCUCCCGUCGUGGCUCAGUGGAAAUGAAUCUAACUGGUAUCCAUGAGGAUGCAUGUUCAAUCCCUGGCCUUGUUCAGUGGGUUAAGGAUCCAGUGUUACUGUGAGCUGUGGUGUAGGCCGGCAGCUACAGCUCUGAUUCGACCCCUAGCCAGAGAACCUCCAUAUGCCAUGGGUGCAGCCUGGAAAAAAAAAGAAAGCCAAAAAAAAAAAAAAAAAAAAAAAAACCCUGUGCAUUCUGCAAUUCAUGGCGGCACAGAUAAAAUGAUCUAAAUUAUAAAAAAGUAUUGGUGGACUGACUAUUCCAAGGUCACAAAAUUGGUUUUUCACCAAUAUCUGCUUGUCAAACUCAUAACCUGGAAAGACCGUUAAGGUGUUAGAUGGCGCAUUCCCACCACCUUCGGGGUGGGUCAUUUGAACACUUACAAGUGGAUUUCAUUCAAUUGCCUCCCUCAGUGGGUUAUCAACAUGUUUCUUGUGAUUGCUUGUGUGUGUUCUCAGGAUGGAUUGAAGCCUUCCUAUACAGAAAGGCUGAUGCCACAUCUGUGGCUGAGAAACUUUUCAAAAAUAUAUUUCCGUUAUAGGGCUUCCCCAGAGAAACCUCCAAUGAUAGAGGAAUUCAUUUCGCCAAACACAUAUAUUAAACAAAUAAAGCACUGCUGACCCAGUGGCA